rnacentral:rRNA from 1 species
UGGGGAAUAUUGCACAAUGGGCGCAAGCCUGAUGCAGCAACGCCGCGUGAACGAUGAAGGUCUUCGGAUCGUAAAGUUCUGUUGCAGGGGAAGAUAAUGACGGUACCCUGUGAGGAAGCCCCGGCUAACUACGUGCCAGCAGCCGCGGUAAUACGUAGGGGGCUAGCGUUAUCCGGAUUUACUGGGCGUAAAGGGUGCGUAGGUGGUCUUUCAAGUCGGUGGUUAAAGGCUACGGCUCAACCGUAGUUAGCCUCCGAAACUGGAAGAAUUGAGUGCAGGAGAGGAAAGUGGAAUUCCCAGUGUAGCGGUGAAAUGCGUAGAUAUUGGGAGGAACACCAGUAGCGAAGGCGGCUUUCUGGACUGCAACUGACACUGAGGCACGAAAGCGUGGGUAGCAAACAGG